GAUUAAAAAGAGUGAGUGGUGUUUACAACUAAUUGAUCACAACCAGUUACAGAUUCCUUUGUUUCUUCUCCACUCCCACUGCUUCACUUCUCUAGCCUUAA
ensembl:misc_RNA Y_RNA Y RNA